GAUGAACGCUAGCGAUAGGCUUAACACAUGCAAGUCGAGGGGCAGCAUGGUCUUAGCUUGCUAAGACUGAUGGCGACCGGCGCACGGGUGCGUAACGCGUAUGCAACUUGCCUCACAGAGGGGGAUAACCCGUCGAAAGACGGACUAAUACCGCGUACACUUGGGAUAGGGCAUCCUGACCCAAGGAAAUGAAAUUCGCUGCGAGAUAGGCAUGCGUCCCAUUAGCUAGUUGGUGAGGUAACGGCUCACCAAGGCGACGAUGGGUAGGGGAACUGAGAGGUUGAACCCCCACACUGGUACUGAGACACGGACCAGACUCCUACGGGAGGCAGCAGUGAGGAAUAUUGGUCAAUGGGCGAGAGCCUGAACCAGCCAAGUCGCGUGAAGGAUGACUGUCUUAUGGAUUGUAAACUUCUUUUAUACGGGAAUAACAAGAGCCACGUGUGGCUCCCUGCAUGUACCGUAUGAAUAAGCAUCGGCUAACUCCGUG
rnacentral:rRNA from 1 species